rnacentral:misc_RNA from 1 species
GAAACAUUGACCAUGCAACUAAUUCACUUGAAUGAUCAAAAGUUACAACAGCAACAACAGAUAAAUUAACCAUUCACUAAGAGUGUUUCUAAUUGACAAAGAACCAUGUUCUUAUUAUAAUUACUUAAGCACAUAAGCAUACAAUACCCCUAUACCAGUUAUUUGGAAAUUGAAGUAGGAAAAGAAAAUUGAUAUUUGUACUUAGUCAAAGUCAUCACUGACAGUAACAAGCCAUACUUUUCACUUCUAAUGUCCAUCCCACCAAAAUCCAUAAGCAUGACUUGUUGCCCGUGAACUUCUAAUUGCAGAUAAGAAUAUAACAGCAUCAAGAUUAAUAAUCUACCAUAUGCAUAAAAGUAAACAAGACAUCAAAAUUUGACAAGCAAUGACAC